rfam:Salmo salar isolate Sally breed double haploid chromosome ssa29, whole genome shotgun sequence.
UGCACUUACUACUGUAAGUCGCUCUGGGUAAGAGUGUCUGCUGAAUGACAUGAA